rnacentral:rRNA from 1 species
GACGAACGCUGGCGGCGUGCUUAACACAUGCAAGUCGAACGGAAAGGCCCUGCUUUUGUGGGGUGCUCGAGUGGCGAACGGGUGAGUAACACGUGAGUAACCUGCCCUUGACUUUGGGAUAACUUCAGGAAACUGGGGCUAAUACCGGAUAGGAGCUCCUGCUGCAUGGUGGGGGUUGGAAAGUUUCGGCGGGUGGGGAUGGACUCGCGGCUUAUCAGCUUGUUGGUGGGGUAGUGGCUUACCAAGGAUUUGACGGGUAGCCGGCCUGAGAGGGUGACCGGCCACAUUGGUACUGAGAUACGGCCCAGACUGCUACGGGAGGCAGCAGUGGGGAAUAUUGCACAGUGGGCGGAAGUCUGAGGCAGCAACGCCGCGUGCGGGAUGACGGCCUUCGGGUUGUAAACCGCUUCCGCCUGUGACGAAGCGUGAGUGACGGUAAUGGGUAAAGAAGCACCGGCUAACUACGUG